CCGCGGUCCCUCCGUGCCUGCCUCCCUCCCCUCGUGCCUCGGUCUUUUGUUGCCUCUACUCCUCGGCACGGCGCAGCCUGGGCUCUCUUCCCCCUCCCGCUUGGGAGUUUGCAGUGUGGACGCUCGGCAAGCACACCUGUCUUGAAGGAGUACCACCUGUCUUCAGCCUGCUAAUGAAAAUUGGAAUUCUCUGAGGAAAGCUCUGUCAUCUAGAAUCUUCUGACCAGUGGAUGAGUCAGCUCAGGGCCUCUUCUCUGCAUCUUCCUUGGACUCGGACUGUGGGAAGCCCUGUGGAAAGCAGGAUGAUCUAACAGCAGGAUAAAGAUUGUUUUUGUUAUCAUGUCCCAUGGCUAAAAAUUACCCACUGCUUUUCCUUCUUAAACUGGGAUCCUCAACUUGGAAUCUCUGGCUAUUAAUAAAGUCUGGAGAGAGCAAUAGAGUGCAUUGGUUAGGACCUCAAGCAUCAGCAGACCUAAAUCUGAGUUAUCACUUUAUCACUAACUGUGAGAGCUUGGACACAAUGCUUGCCAUCUCUUCACACCAUCCACUCACAUGUGCAAUGGUGUAAAAAUCACAACUACUCAGAGGUAGUUGUAAGGAUGAAAAUAGAUAAUGUGCAAAGUCCGUAGAACAGUGUGUGGCAUGCAGCUUAGUGAGGGCUCCACAAAUUGUAGGUUUGGUAUUAUUUUGCAUAAGCACUCUAUUAGGCAGAAGCUGAUCGUUUAUAUAUCUGAGCUACCCACUAAACUUAUUCAUCCAUUGUCUUAUUCAUUUAUUCAUUUGAUAAACAUUUUUGAACACCUGUUGUGAGCCAAGCACCUUCCGGGAUUUGGGGAUACAGUGUGACCAAGCCAGGUGAGACCCCAGCCUCCUCAGAGCUCAUUUUGGUAGACUCUGAGCUCCUAGAGAGGGAGAUCCCAUCCCUGUAUCUCACAUAGAGCCUAGCACAGCACUAUACCCAGAAGAGAUCCUUUCAAAAUGCUGUUAAAGAAUGACUGGGUAAGUGACACGCCUAAAAAGUGGGGAGAAAAGUCAGGUGUGGUUGCUUCCCCUCUGCUGUUACUGGGACUCAGCUACCGUUAGGAGUAGCCCCUCUAAUAUACGCAGAUGGACCAAGACCGAAGCUGACCAUCCUGAGUUCUGUGCCAGGAACUCCUUCCCAGGGAGCACAGAAGGAAAGUGCUGGGCCCUGGAGAGAUGCCAGUCACUCCGACAAUGGUCUUCAUCUUAAUUGCAGUAUGUAAUUCAGCACUAGGUUCCAAGUGGCAGCCACACUGAGGUUGUUUUCCCACAUAACUCAAUGUUCUUUUCAUUGCCAUGGUAUAUGAGCAAACUGUUCAGCUGUGAGUGAGUUCAGGGGAAGGAAAUAUAAGAUUAGACUGCCAUGCGUACUGAAAGGCAGAAAAGCUUCCAUAUUAUGGAGCAAUAAAUUAAGGAAUAAUCACGAAAAUGUUACAGAUAAUUCACAUCAAUCAAGUAACUUACAGUUACUUUAUUAUUUUAGAUUAUAUUCAUGAUUAUUAUUUAAUGUGUUUUUAAUAUGAAUGUACAGCUUUAUGUAAUCCUUUUGUAAUUGAGAAGGAAUUAGAGGUCCAAGUGCUCUGAAAUACUUUCUUUUUUUCAAUUGCCCAACAUUUAGAAGACUCCUGUUUUACAGCUAAUGCCAAUUAUUCCACAUAGACAUACACUUUUUAUCUCUUUAUUGCAUGUCGGGAUAACUAAAAUCUAUCAGAUUUAAAGUUUAAGUUUUAUGGCCAAAGUCAUAUUUCUAUUUCUGCAUGAGUCUAACUAAUGCUCAUGGAUCCACAGUCCCUACCAGAGGAAUUCAUCAUUAGUCAAUCAACAAAUAUUCCUUGGGGAGCCGCCUUGUGCAAGGUAUGAGAAUGGAGCCUUGGAGCUAGAUACACAAAAAAAUCACAGAGCUUUGUCCUUGAUCUCUAGACACUUUUAGUUUUGUUUGGAAAAUAAGACAUAUAGGCAUGGGAUGACAAUUAAAAAUAUAAGGCAAUAAAUGUUGAAUGUCAAAUGAUAGCAUCAGAAACAGUUGCUGUGGAAGUCCACAGGCAACAGCAGUCUGGGGUCAUAUUUGGUUGUGGAAGCCUUGCCCACUGAAUGUUGUUUGUUUCACAAAAGGUUGCCUGAUGAAAUGGGAGAAAAGUGGGGUAAGUCAUAUUCCCUUGCUACUUGAGUGUGAUUUGAGAGCUAGCAACUUCAGCAACACCUGGGAGCCUGUUAGACCUGCAGAAUCUCAAGCACGACCCAGGACUGACUGAGUCAGAAUCUGCAUUUCAACAAGAUCCCCAGUGAUUGUGCAUUAAGGUCUCAGAAGCACUGGCCUAUCCUGCAGAUUCGUAAGUCACUUGUCUUUUUUGAAACAGCGUCUCUCUCAGUCACCCAGGCCCCAGUGCAGUGGCGUGAUCAUAGCUCACUGCAGCCUGAAACUCCGGGGCUCAAGCGAUCCUCCUGCCUCAGCCUCCAGAGUUGCAGGGAUUACAGGCAUGAGCCACCAUGCCCAGCCACUUUUCUUGUUUGAUGGAAAGUUAGACUCAUACUUGCUAAUCUCAUUCUCACUCCAAUAAAAAAUAAGGCAAUUAAAGGAAACCAUUCAUUCAACAAAACUUUGUGUACCUUCUUGUGCUAGAAACUUUGUUCCAGUCACACACUAAAUAUAUACAAGUACCCAAAGACAGUUUUGGAUAUUCAGUACUAGUGACUUCAUACUGAUGGCUCUGAGGCCUAAGGGUCAAACAGAUUUGUAAUACUCAGGGGUGUCUCCUUCAUCAACUAGCAAACCUGGGUCAUCCCCAGAAGUGGGGUAAAUUUGUUAGAAACUCCUAUGGGCCAGGCUCAGUGGCUCACACUUGUAAUCCCAGUACUUUGGGAGGCCAAAGCAGGUGGAUCAUCUGAGGUCAGGAGUUCAAGACCAGCCUGGCCAACAUGGUGAAACCCGGUCUCUACUAAAAAUACAAAAAAACCCAAAAAGAAAUAGCUGGGCGUGGUAGUGGGUGCCUGUAAUCCCAGCUACUCGGGAGGCUGAGGCAGGAGAAUCGCUUGAACCCUGGAGGCAGAGGUUGCGGUGAGCUGAAACUGCUCCAUUGCACUCCAGCCUGGGCAACAAGAGCAAACCUCCAUCUCAAACAAACAAAUCUCCUAUGGCGACAGAGUGAUGCCCAGGGAAGGUGGAACUCUGUGCCGAAACAAUGUUAGUUUUGCAUUUGGUGUCCUACUGUCCUGACUGUCUAUUCAGCAAUCUAUUUGACAUUUCAACCUCUGUGUCUAACAGGCUUCUUAAUAAUAAACAUCCAAAAGAGAAGUGUUAACUUUCUCCCGCAAAUCUGUUUUGCCCCGAUCUUCCUCUUCUUCAUAAAUGAGACUACCAUCUGCCAUGUUGAUAAGCCAAAACUUAAAACUCAUUCUGAAGUCUUCAUCUGUCCUACCCACCACAUGUAAUCCAGGAGCACUCCCUGUCCAUUCCACCUUCAGACUAGGAUGCUGGCUAUGUCCCCGUCGGGUCGUCUCCAUGGGCACUAUCGGCCGUCUUGCCUGGGGGAUUGUGCUGGCCACCUACGGGGUCUUCCUGUCUCCACCCUUGCUCGUGUCCAAGCUCAUCUCCAUACAGCAGCCAGAAUGGUCGUAGACAAAUGUCAGUCUCUCCAUGUCAUUCCUCUGCUUGAAACUUUAAUGAUUUCUUAUUUAUCUUCAAAUAAAACUGAAAUGAUCAGGCUCUGUUUGAUUGGUCCUGUUGUUUCUUCCUCUUCCCCUGUUGCCCACCAUCCUCCACCAAACUGACAUUUUAAAUUAUUCCUUCAACAUCCUCAUGUCUUUUCUGCCUCAGGAUCUUUGCAUCUGUUACUUGGAAUGGUCUAGAACUGUCUAGAGCGGUCUGCCUGACUCUUCACAUGGUUGCCUUUUGAUCUUUCAGAGCUCAGAGUAGCUGUGCUGACUUAGAGAGGCCUUCCCUGAAGUUCAUCUAGCAGGCAACCCCAGCGUUCUGAUGUACUUCGUGGCUCUGAUGCCAACUACCAAUCACAUGAAGGGCUGAGACUUCAUCUCUCUUGUUCAUUUCUAUUUCCCCAGCACACAGUGUGCUCCAUACAAAUAUGUGACUGAAUGAAAGUGUAGUUCUGGAUUUGUGUGGCUUGAUAAUGUUUUUCCUUUUUCAGUGUAAAUCUGAAAUACUUUUUAAUUCAAUUAACCAAGUUUUAGAAUAAUGCUGCUAUGCAGUUAACAGAGAUUAUUAACACAGGAAUACAC
rnacentral:lncRNA from 1 species